CCUACGGGAGGCAGCAGUGAGGAAUAUUGGUCAAUGGGCGCGAGCCUGAACCAGCCAAGUAGCGUGAAGGCUGACUGCCCUACGGGUUGUAAACUUCUUUUAUAAAGGAAUAAAGUGAGGCACGUGUGCCUUUUUGUAUGUACUUUAUGAAUAAGGAUCGGCUAACUCCGUGCCAGCAGCCGCGGUAAUCCGGAGGAUCCGAGCGUUAUCCGGAUUGAUUGGGUUUAAGGGGAGCGUAGAUGGGUUGUUAAGUCAGUUGGGAAAGUUUGCGGCUCAACCGUAACAGUGCAAUUGAUACUGGCAGUCUGGAGUACAGUUGAGGUAGGCGGAAGUGGGGGUGUAGCGGUGAAAUGCUUAGAUAGCACGAAGAACGCCGAUUGCGAAGGCAGCUUACUAAACUGCCACUGACAGUGAUGCUCGAAAGUGUGGGUAUCAAACAGGAUUAGAGACCCUGGUAGUC
rnacentral:rRNA from 1 species